rnacentral:piRNA from 1 species
UGAAACCUGUGCCUUUGUAGAUGCCCU